GCCGUGGCUCAGAGGUAGAAUGCCUGCUUUGCAUGCAGAAGGUUGCAGGUUCAAUCCCUGGCAUCUCCA
rnacentral:tRNA from 1 species